UACGUAGGGUCCAGCGUUGUCCGGAAUUAUUGGGCGUAAAGGGCUCGUAGGCGGUCUGUUGCGUCGGGAGUGAAAACUUACAGCUUAACUGUGAGCGUGCUUUCGAUACGGGCAGACUUGAGGCAUUCAGGGGAGAACGGAAUUCCUGGUGUAGCGGUGAAAUGCGCAGAUAUCAGGAGGAACACCGGUGGCGAAGGCGGGUCUCUGGGCAGUAACUGACGCUGAGGAGCGAAAGCGUGGGGAGCGAACAGG
rnacentral:rRNA from 1 species